rnacentral:rRNA from 1 species
CCUACGUGAGGCAGCAGUAGGGAAUUUUCGGCAAUGGGGGGAACCCUGACCGAGCAACGCCGCGUGAUCGAAGAAGUUAUUCGUAAUGUAAAGUUCUUUUAACAGGGAAGAAAGAGAAAUUUGACGGUACCUGAAGAAUAAGCUCCGGCUACCUACGUGCCAGCAGCCUCGGUAAUACGUAGGGGGCAAGCGUUAUCCGGAUUUCCUGGGUUUAAAGGGAGCGUAGACGGCAGCGCAAGGCUGGAUUGAAAUGCCGGGGCCCAACACCGGAACUGCUCGGGAAACUGUGAAUCUGGAGUGCAGGAGAGGUAAGCGGAAUUACUGGUGUAGCGGUGAAAUGCGUAGAUAUCAGGAGGAACACCGGCGGCGAAGGCGGCUUACUGGACUGUAACUGACGUUGAGGCUCGAAGGCGUGGGGAGCAAACAGGAUUAGAUACCCGGGUAGUC